CCCCAUGCGCAGUGGCAGUAUCAUAGCCAAUGAGGUCAAACUGAGGCAUGAUUAUUGCUAAUGGG
rnacentral:snRNA from 1 species